rnacentral:rRNA from 1 species
UAAAAACCCCGACUUCGGAAGGGGUGUAUUUAUUAGAUACAAAACCAAUGCCCUUCGGGGCUCUUUGGUGAUUCAUGAUAACUAUACGAAUCGCACGGCCUUGCGCCGGCGAUGGUUCAUUCAAAUUUCUUCCCUAUCAACUUUCGAUGUUUGGGUAUUGGCCAAACAUGGUUGCAACGGGUAACGGAGGGUUAGGGCUCGACCCCGGAGAAGGAGCCUGAGAAACGGCUACUACAUCCAAGGAAGGCAGCAGGCGCGCAAAUUACCCAAUCCCGACUCGGGGAGGUAGUGACAAUAAAUACUGAUACAGGGCCCUUUCGGGCCUUGUAAUUGGAAUGAGUACAAUUUAAAUCCCUUAACGAGGAACAAUUGGAGGGCAAGUCUGGUGCCAGCAGCCGCGGUAAUUCCAGCUCCAAUAGCGUAUAUUAAAGUUGUUGUGGUUAAAAAGCUCGUAGUUGAACCUUGGGCCUGGCUGGCCCGGUCCGCCUCACCGCGUGCACUGGUCCGGCCGGGUCCUUUCCCUCUGUGGAACCCCAUACCCUUCACUGGGCGUGGCGGGAAACAGGACAUUUACUU